rnacentral:rRNA from 1 species
AGUGCAUGUGGUGGAUGCCUUGGCAGUCAGAGGCGAUGAAAGACGUGAUAGCCUGCGAAAAGCUCCGGGGAAGGCGGCAAAUAUCCUUUGAUCCGGAGAUGUCUGAAUGGGGGAACCCACCUACUUUAAGGUAGGUAUUGCAACAUGAAUACAUAGUGUUGCAAGGCGAACGAGGGGAAGUGAAACAUCUCAGUACCCUUAGGAAAAGAAAUCAAUUGAGAUUCCCUCAGUAGCGGCGAGCGAACGGGGAUCAGCCCAUUAAGUUAUGUGUGUUUUAGUGGAACGCUCUGGGAAGUGCGAACGUAGAGGGUGAUAUUCCCGUACACGAAAGGGCACACAUAAUGAUGACGAGUAGGGCGAGGCACGUGAAACCUUGUCUGAAUAUGGGGGGACCAUCCUCCAAGGCUAAAUACUCCUGACUGACCGAUAGUGAACCAGUACCGUGAGGAAAGGCGAAAAGAACCCCUGUAGAGGGGAGUGAAAUAGAUCCUGAAACCGCAUGCAUACAAGCAGUGGGAGCACCUUCGUGGUGUGACUGCGUACCUUUUGUAUAAUGGGUCAGCGACUUAUAUUCAGUAGCGAGGUUAACCGUAUAGGGGAGCCGUAGAGAAAUCGAGUCUUAAUAGGGCGUUUAGUUGCUGGGUAUAGACCCGAAACCAGGCGAUCUAUCCAUGAGCAGGUUGAAGGUUGGGUAACACUAACUGGAGGACCGAACCCACUGUCGUUGAAAAGCCAGGGGAUGACUUGUGGAUAGGGGUGAAAGGCUAAUCAAGCCUGGUGAUAGCUGGUUCUCCCCGAAAGCUAUUUAGGUAGCGCCUCGGACGAAUACCAUAGGGGGUAGAGCACUGUUUCGGCUAGGGGGUCAUCCCGACUUACCAAACCGAUGCAAACUCCGAAUACCUAUGAGUACUAUCCGGGAGACAGACUGCGGGUGCUAACGUCCGUAGUCAAGAGGAAAACAAUCCAGACCGCCAGCUAAGGCCCCAAAAUCAUAGUUAAGUGGGAAACGAUGUGGGAAGGCAUAGACAGCUAGGAGGUUGGCUUAGAAGCAGCCACCCUUUAAAGAAAGCGUAAUAGCUCACUAGUCGAGUCGGCCUGCGCGGAAGAUGUAACGGGGCUAAAACUAUGUGCCGAAGCUGCGGAUGUAUACUUUGUAUACGUGGUAGGGGAGCGUUCUGUAAGCCGAUGAAGGUGUGUUGAGAAGCAUGCUGGAGGUAUCAGAAGUGCGAAUGCUGACGUGAGUAACGACAAAACGGGUGAAAAACCCGUUCGCCGAAAGACCAAGGGUUCCAGUCCAACGUUAAUCGGGGCUGGGUGAGUCGACCCCUAAGGCGAGGCCGAAAGGCGUAGUCGAUGGGAAAAUGGUUAAUAUUCCAUUACUUCUGUGUAAUGCGAUGAGAGGACGGAGAAGGCUAAAUCAGCCUGGCGUUGGUUGUCCAGGUGAAAGGAUGUAGGCAUGUAUCUUAGGCAAAUCCGGGGUACUCUAUGCUGAGAUCUGAUAGCAAGCUGUACUUGUACAGCGAAGUGGUUGAUGCCAUGCUUCCAGGAAAAGUCUCUAAGCUUCAGUUACACAGGAAUCGUACCCGAAACCGACACAGGUGGUCAGGUCGAGUAGACCAAGGCGCUUGAGAGAACUCUGCUGAAGGAACUAGGCAAAAUGGUACCGUAACUUCGGGAGAAGGUACGCUGUUGUUGGUGAUGGAACUCGCUUCCUGAGCUGACGACAGCCGCAGAAACCAGGCCGCUGCAACUGUUUAUUAAAAACAUAGCACUCUGCAAACACGAAAGUGGACGUAUAGGGUGUGAUGCCUGCCCGGUGCUGGAAGGUUAAUUGAUGGGGUUAGCGUAAGCGAAGCUCUUGAUCGAAGCCCCAGUAAACGGCGGCCGUAACUAUAACGGUCCUAAGGUAGCGAAAUUCCUUGUCGGGUAAGUUCCGACCUGCACGAAUGGCAUAAUGAUGGCGGCGCUGUCUCCAGCAGAGGCUCAGUGAAAUCGAAAUCGCUGUGAAGAUGCAGUGUACCCGCGGCUAGACGGAAAGACCCCGUGAACCUUUACUGCAGCUUGACACUGAACUUUGACCUUACUUGUGUAGGAUAGGUGGGAGGCUUUGAAGCUGGAACGCUAGUUCCAGUGGAGCCGUCCUUGAAAUACCACCCUGGUAAUGUUGAGGUUCUAACUCUGUCCCGUGAUCCGGGACGAGGACCGUGUCUGGUGGGUAGUUUGACUGGGGCGGUCUCCUCCUAAAGAGUAACGGAGGAGUACGAAGGUGCGCUCAGCGUGGUCGGAAAUCACGCGUAGAGUAUAAAGGCAAAAGCGCGCUUAACUGCGAGACCCACAAGUCGAGCAGGUACGAAAGUAGGUCUUAGUGAUCCGGUGGUUCUGUAUGGAAGGGCCAUCGCUCAACGGAUAAAAGGUACUCUGGGGAUAACAGGCUGAUACCGCCCAAGAGUUCAUAUCGACGGCGGUGUUUGGCACCUCGAUGUCGGCUCAUCUCAUCCUGGGGCUGAAGCAGGUCCCAAGGGUAUGGCUGUUCGCCAUUUAAAGAGGUACGCGAGCUGGGUUUAGAACGUCGUGAGACAGUUCGGUCCCUAUCUACCGUGGGCGCUGGAAAUUUGAGAGGAUCUGCUCCUAGUACGAGAGGACCAGAGUGGACGAACCUCUGGUGUACCGGUUGUGACGCCAGUCGCAUCGCCGGGUAGCUAUGUUCGGAAGGGAUAACCGCUGAAAGCAUCUAAGCGGGAAGCCUACCUCAAGAUAAGAUUUCCCUAGGACUUUAUGUCCUCUAAAGAGCCGUUCGAGACUAGGACGUUGAUAGGUUGGAUGUGGAAGCAUAGUGAUAUGUGAAGCUGACCAAUACUAAUUGCUCGUGAGGCUUGACU